UGGUGGAGUGAUUUGUCUGGUUAAUUCCGUUAACGAACGAGACCUCAGCCUGCUAACUAGUCACUUGAAUACCUUGGUAUUCAAGGCUGUACUUCUUAGAGGGACUACCGUGGUCGCACAUGGUGGAAGUUUGAGGCAAUAACA
rnacentral:rRNA from 1 species